rnacentral:lncRNA from 1 species
AUUUAAAUAUAUAAAGUCAAGGGGUUAUAGUGUUUAGUAUUUACAGAAUAUAAAUGAAAUGAAGUUCGAUUUGAUGGGUCUAGUUUGUCUUGCAAAAUAUUGCGUUCAUUUGUAAUUGCAUUGUAAAUAUUGUAUCUGUCCAUGCUGAAUAGUAUUGUUAAGCAAUUUAUAUAUGUAUAUAUACAUGAUUAUCAAGUAUUUGUUUGAAUCACAUUUUGUACACAUACUUAUAUUUAUUGUAUCAUUAAAGCAUUUGAAUUCAGUUAAUUACCAUCCGUUUGUAUAUAUGUGUGUGGAGUUUUUUUUUGAAUGAUAUGAAUGCACAAUGUCAGUUGUCUCACUGUUGAUAGUGGCUUUGUAUGUCAUGUAUUAUAAAUGUCCGUCUUAAUGUUUUAGCUGUUAUAUAUUUAAGACAGGAUGCUUAUGAUAUAAUAUCAACUGUUAUAAAUAUGAUACUAUAAUUAAUAUUUGUUAUUCUAAAUUUCUUAAUUUUUGUAAAUAAUAUAGGGAAUAACACCUACAUGUAGUUGAAUUAAUUGACUUGUUCAUCAAUUUAUAAUUGAAAUUAUUUAACAUGAUUGUGUUGUUUUCUUAUAAGUUAUAACCAAUUUUUGUGGAGUGAUGAAAACUUCAAUGUUCGUGGAUAUUUAAAUUCGUUGAUAUGGCAAAUUCUGCAUACAUUCCUUUUGAAAAUGUGUAUUUCGUUAGACAUUUAAAUUCGUGUUUCCCCUGUACCCACGACAUCCACGAAAAUUGAUAUCCAAUGCAUAAUCCACAGUAUACCUUUUAAGUUUUUGAAUUAUAUCAAGAUAGUUUCUCAAUGCCAAUUUUAUGUAAAUUUGUUAAUGUAUUUAAAAAUAAAAAGAUUACUCUAUUUGUUAAUUGGAGAGCAUAUUGUGUAGAUAAAUUGCUGUAAUAGUGAAGGAAGGUUUCAUGUUGUUAAAUAUGACAUUAAAAAGAUGUUUAACAUGUCCAAUUAAAAUUUUUCAAUUUUGCAUUUGCUAUUUUAAAUUUGCCUAGCUCUGUUCUGUUGUACAUGCUUAUCAAGUUAUCAUUUAAAUAAUAAAACAAAUCAUAUAAUCCAUGAUGUAUAAUGUGUAUUAAUGCUUUUGCACC